rnacentral:rRNA from 1 species
UACGUAGGGGCUAGCGUUGUCCGGAAUCAUUGGGCGUAAAGCGCGCGUAGGCGGCCAGAUAAGUCCGGUGUGAAAGCCACAGGCUCAACCUGUGAAUGCCGCUGGAAACUGUCUGGCUAGAGUCCGGUAGGGACCACGGAAUACAUGGUGUAGCGGUGAAAUGCGCAGAUAUCAUGUGGAACACCGGUGGCGAAGGCGGUGGUCUGGGCCGGAACUGACGCUGUAGAGCGAAAGCGUGGGGAGCGAACAGG